ACGGGGUGCACCAGGCGAGAAAACUUUGCAAUGUGCGAAAGCACGACAAGGUUAAUCCGAGUGAUUUCUGCUAAAGGAAUCUUUUGUCAGUCCUAGAAACACUGUUGAAUAAGGGGUGGGCAAGUCCUGGUGUCAGCCGCCGCGGUAAAACCAGCACCUCAAGUGGUCAGGAUGAUUAUUGGGCCUAAAGCAUCCGUAGCCUGCUUUGUAAGUUUCCGGUUAAAUCCAUUAGCUUAACUUAUGGGCCGCCGGAAAAACUGCAAAGCUAGGGAGUGGGAGAGGUAGACGGUACUCGGUAGGAAGGGGUAAAAUCCUUUGAUCUAUUGAUGACCACCUGUGGCGAAGGCGGUCUACCAGAACACGUCCGACGGUGAGGGAUGAAAGCUGGGGGAGCAAACCGGAUUAGAUACCCGGGUAGUCCCAGCUGUAAACGAUGCAGACUCGGUGAUGCACUGGCUUGUGGCCAGUGCAGUGUUGCAGGGAAGCCGUUAAGUUUGCCGCCUGGGAAGUACGUACGCAAGUAUGAAACUUAAAGGAAUUGGCGGGGGAGCAC
rnacentral:rRNA from 1 species